UCCUACGGGAGGCAGCAGUGGGGAAUAUUGCACAAUGGGCGAAAGCCUGAUGCAGCGACGCCGCGUGAGGGAUGAAGGCCUUCGGGUUGUAAACCUCUUUCAGCAGGGAAGAAGCAGCUGGGUUUUCUCAGGUGUGACGGUACCUGCAGAAGAAGCACCGGCUAACUACGUGCCAGCAGCCGCGGUAAUACGUAGGGUGCAAGCGUUGUCCGGAAUUAUUGGGCGUAAAGAGCUUGUAGGCGGUUUGUCGCGUCUGCUGUGAAAUUUCGGGGCUCAACCCCGAACUUGCAGUGGGUACGGGCAGACUAGAGUGUGGUAGGGGAGACUGGAAUUCCUGGUGUAGCGGUGAAAUGCGCAGAUAUCAGGAGGAACACCGAUGGCGAAGGCAGGUUUCUGGGCCACUACUGACGCUGAGAAGCGAAAGCAUGGGGAGCGAACAGGAUUAGAUACCCUGGUAGUCCAUGCCGUAAACGUUGGGAACUAGGUGUGGGCCUCAUUCCACGAGGUCCGUGCCGCAGCUAACGCAUUAAGUUCCCCGCCUGGGGAGUACGGCCGCAAGGCUAAAACUCAAAGGAAUUGACGGGGGCCCGCACAAGCGGCGGAGCAUGCGGAUUAAUUCGAUGCAACGCGAAGAACCCUACCAAGGCUUGACAUGUGCCGGUAAAGUGCAGAGAUGUGCUCCCCGCAAGGUCGGUACACAGGUGGUGCAUGGUUGUUGUCAGCUCGUGUCGUGAGAUGUUGGGUUGAGUCCCGCAACGAGCGCAACCCCCGUCCUAUGUUGCCAGCGGAUAACGCCGGGGACUCAUGGGAUACUGCCGGUGACAAACCGGAGGAAGGUGGGGAUGACGUCAAGUCAUCAUGCCCCUUAUGUCCAGGGCUUCACACGUGCUACAUUGGCGCAUACAGAGGGCUGCGAUACCGCGAGGUGGAGCGAAUCCCAAAAAGUGCGUCUCGGUUCGGAUUGGAGGCUGAAACUCGCCUCCAUGAAGGCGGAGCUGCUAGUAAUCCCAGAUCAGCAAUGCUGGGGUGAAUACGUUCCCGGGCCUUGUACACACCGCCAU
rnacentral:rRNA from 1 species